rnacentral:rRNA from 1 species
CGAUACUUGGUGUGAAUUGCAGAAUUCCGUGAAUCAUCGAAUCUUUGAACGCACAUUGCGCCCCCUGGCAUUCCGGGGGGCAUGCCUGUCCGAGCGUCAUUUCUGCCCUCAAGCACGGCUUGUGUGUUGGGUGUGGUCCCCCCGGGGACCUGCCCGAAAGGCAGCGGCGACGCCCGUCUGGUCCUCGAGCGUAUGGGGCUCUGUCACUCGCUCGGGAAGGACCUGCGGGGGUUGGUCACCACCAUGUUUUACCACGGUUGACCUCGGAUCAGGUAGGAGUUACCCGCUGAACUUAAGCAUAUCAAUAAGCGGAGGA